UACAGAGGGUGCAAGCGUUAAUCGGAAUUACUGGGCGUAAAGCGUGCGUAGGCGGUUGUGUAAGUCAGAUGUGAAAGCCCCGGGCUCAACCUGGGAACUGCAUUUGAGACUGCUCUGCUCGGGUGCGGAAGAGGGAAGCGGAAUUUCCGGUGUAGCGGUGAAAUGCGUAGAUAUCUGGAGGAACAUCGAUGGCGAAGGCAGCUUCCUGGUCCAACACUGACACUGAGGUGCGAAAGCGUGGGGAGCAAACAGG
rnacentral:rRNA from 1 species